CUCCGAUGUUGAUGGUGUUAGCGGUUGCCAACAACGCGACAAAUAUUUGGAGGGUCCAGUUCGGAUAGUGCUGGCGAAGGUUGCCUGCCAAACCGCGACCCGUCGUUCGUCCUAUCCUCGCACUGAUCAUCUGGACUGCCGCCAUCAGCGGGUAGGUCAACAGCAUGGUCCAGCUUAAAGAAUAACCAAACUGGGCUCCCGCUUGGCUGUACGUCGCGAUGCCGCUGGGAUCGUCAUCCGACGCGCCCGU
rnacentral:misc_RNA from 1 species